rnacentral:rRNA from 1 species
GCAAGCGUUGUUCGGAAUUACUGGGCGUAAAGGGCGCGUAGGCGGUUGGAUAAGUCAGCUGUGAAAACCACGGGCUUAACUCGUGGCCUGCAGUUGAGACUGUCUGGCUUGAGUGUGGGAGAGGAGAGUGGAAUUCCUGGUGUAGCGGUGAAAUGCGUAGAUAUCAGGAGGAACACCGGUGGCGAAGGCGGCUCUCUGGACAACUCCUGACACUGAGGCACGAAAGCUAGGGGAGCAAACAGG